rnacentral:rRNA from 1 species
GACUUGUCGAGCGGCAGCGACAACAUUGAACCUUCGGGGGAUUUGUUGGGCGGCGAGCGGCGGACGGGUGAGUAAUGCCUGGGAAAUUGCCCUGAUGUGGGGGAUAACCAUUGGAAACGAUGGCUAAUACCGCAUGAUAGCUUCGGCUCAAAGAGGGGGACCUUCGGGCCUCUCGCGUCAGGAUAUGCCCAGGUGGGAUUAGCUAGUUGGUGAGGUAAGGGCUCACCAAGGCGACGAUCCCUAGCUGGUCUGAGAGGAUGAUCAGCCACACUGGAACUGAGACACGGUCCAGACUCCUACGGGAGGCAGCAGUGGGGAAUAUUGCACAAUGGGCGCAAGCCUGAUGCAGCCAUGCCGCGUGUAUGAAGAAGGCCUUCGGGUUGUAAAGUACUUUCAGCAGUGAGGAAGGAGGUAUCGUUAAUAGCGGUAUCUUUUGACGUUAGCUGCAGAAGAAGCACCGGCUAACUCCGUGCCAGCAGCCGCGGUAAUACGGAGGGUGCGAGCGUUAAUCGGAAUUACUGGGCGUAAAGCGCAUGCAGGUGGUUUGUUAAGUCAGAUGUGAAAGCCCGGGGCUCAACCCUCGGAAUUUGCAUUUGAAACUGGCAGGCUAGAGUACUGUAGAGGGGGGUA